CAGGGACAAUAAGUUGAAACAAUUUAUUCAGAGACAAUUUGUGCCCAUAGAAUGGGAAAUAAAGAUCAUUGGCAACUUUACAAGAUGAUAAAUAAGUUGCCAAUGAUGACAAAUUCAAUUUCUUUCCAUCGAAAAAGAGUGUAACAUAUAGAAUCUAAUUUUUAGCCAGUUCGGCGAUUGAUAAGCUAAUGCUACAAAGCUGGCUAAACUUUGUGUUAUCAGCAGUCAUGGGUGAAGCUCCCUUGAAUCCAUCUUCACAAGACUGUGCUUCGGUCAUGGCAGUAGUGAUCCCUACCUUAACAUCAUUGAAAACUUUAGCUUCCAAAGCAGCUGUGGCGAACUUAAUCUUAUCCAUUGCAACAUUGUAAUUUUGAGAGCAAUCUGUUAGCGUUUGCACAACAUCAGCAGCUUUGCCCAUCAUCAGUUCAGCCAUUUUCUUGGUUACUUCACCUCCUUGUAAUGUUGUAGCCCCUAGUGCAGAUUUGGCUAGGCUGUGCACAUCUGCUGCAUUGGCUGAUCCUAGAGCAGAAUUGCAUAGGUCCUUAUAUGAGGUUUUAUCACAAGUUUGAGUUAUUAACUCUGAGGCUUGGUGGGUAGGAACUGCAAGAAGAAGAACAAAGAAGAAAAAGAUUGGCAAAGACAUUGUUUAGUAGGAUUUUUGUUCUUUUUCGAGAUAGAUGCAAUUGAAAUUAAGAUGGCUUGUGG
rnacentral:misc_RNA from 1 species